GACGAACCGUGCGAACGUUGUUCGGAAUCACUGGGCUUAAAGGGCGCGUAGGCGGGGGACCAAGUCCGGGGUGAAAUCUUUCGGCCCAACCGAAAAAUGGCCUUGGAUACUGGUUCUCUCGAGGGAGGUAGGGGCAGCUGGAACUUCCGGUGGAGCGGUGAAAUGCGUUGAUAUCGGAAGGAACGCCGGUGGCGAAAGCGAGCUGCUGGACCUCUACUGACGCUGAGGCGCGAAAGCCAGGGGAGCAAACGGG
rnacentral:rRNA from 1 species